UUCGGACUGGAGUCUGCAACCCGACUCCACGAAGUUGGAUUCGCUAGUAAUCGCGCAUCAGCCAUGGCGCGGUGAAUACGUUCCCGGGCCUUGUACACACCGCCCGUCAAGCCAUGGGAGCCGGGGGCGCCUGAAGUCCGGGACCGCGAGGACCGGCCUAGGGCGAAACUGGUAACUGGGGCUAAGUCGUAACAAGGUACC
rnacentral:rRNA from 1 species